AUAGAACGGGAAAGACAAGAGCUCUCAAGAAAACUGGAGAUAUGAAGGGAUGUUUAAUGCUAAGAUGGGCAUGAUAAAGGACCAAAUGGCAGGGAUCUAACAGAAACAGAAGAGAUUACAAAGAGGUGACAAGAGUACAUGGUAGAACUAUACAAGAAAGAGCUUAAUGUCCCUGAUAACCAUGAUGGUUUGGUUGCUGACCUCGAGCCUGACAUUCUGGAGUGUGAAGUCAAAUGGGCCUUAGGAAGUCUGAGCAACAACAAAGCUAGUUCUAUUCAAAAUCUUAAAAGACGAUGCAGUUAAAGUGCUACACUCAAUAUG